UACGAAGGGGGCCAGCGUUGCUCGGAAUUACUGGGCGUAAAGCGCACGUAGGCGGAUCUUUAAGUCAGGGGUGAAAUCCUGGAGCUCAACUCCAGAACUGCCUUUGAUACUGGGAGUCUCGAGUCCGGGAGAGGUGAGUGGAACUGCGAGUGUAGAGGUGAAAUUCGUAGAUAUUCGCAAGAACACCAGUGGCGAAGGCGGCUCACUGGCCCGGUACUGACGCUGAGGUGCGAAAGCUAGGGUAGCAAACGGG
rnacentral:rRNA from 1 species